AGUGAACGCUGGCGGUAGGCCUAACACAUGCAAGUCGAACGGCAGCACAGUAAGAGCUUGCUCUUACGGGUGGCGAGUGGCGGACGGGUGAGGAAUACAUCGGAAUCUACUUUUUCGUGGGGAUAACGUAGGGAAACUUACGCUAAUACCGCAUACGACCUACGGGUGAAAGCAGGGGAUCUUCGGACCUUGCGCGAUUGAAUGAGCCGAUGUCGGAUUAGCUAGUUGGCAGGGUAAAGGCCCACCAAGGCGACGAUCCGUAGCUGGUCUGAGAGGAUGAUCAGCCACACUGGAACUGAGACACGGUCCAGACUCCUACGGGAGGCAGCAGUGGGGAAUAUUGGACAAUGGGCGCAAGCCUGAUCCAGCCAUACCGCGUGGGUGAAGAAGGCCUUCGGGUUGUAAAGCCCUUUUGUUGGGAAAGAAAAGCAGCAGGUUAAUACCCCGCUGUUCUGACGGUACCCAAAGAAUAAGCACCGGCUAACUUCGUG
rnacentral:rRNA from 1 species